rnacentral:lncRNA from 1 species
UUGGUCUAGAUUGUACAAUUAAAAAUAUUGGGGGUAAUUGUUAAGAAACUUGAACAGAUUAGAAGUUUGAGAUAAAUUAGAGAAUAAGCAAGAGUAAGAGGACCAUAUAUUGUAAAUAAUAAAAAGUUCACCAUUGUUGCUCCUAUCAAGCUUUCUCUCGGAUCUGCGGGUGAAGCGAUGAUGAUUCUGGCAGCCACAACUACGAUCUCUAGCAUGACGACCAUGGCGAGGAGGAGACACGUUGACUUUUAAACGUAUUGUCGUAAAUGGACCUCACAAUCGCCGUCGUCUCUAACAUUUUUC